GAUGAACGCUGGCGGCGUGCUUAACACAUGCAAGUCGAACGAAGUGGCAGACGGGUGAGUAACGCGUGAGCAACCUACCUCUUACAAAGGGAUAGCAUCGGGAAACCGGGAUUAAUACCAUAUAGUAAGAGAUGGGCGCGCGUCCCAUUAACCGGAUGGUGAGGUAACGGCUCACCAUAGUGACGAUGGGUAACCGGCCUGUGAGAUUGACCCGUCACACUUGCACUGGGCCGCGGUCCAGACUCCUACGGAAGGCGGGAGUGUGGGAUGUAGCACGGUGGCGGGAACUCUGAUGCUGCUCCGCCGCGUGAGUGAUGAAGGAAUUCGUUUCGUAAAUCUCUGUUCUAUGGGAAGCUGUACCAUAGGAGAAAGCUCCGGCUAAAUACGUGCCAGCAGCCGCGGUAAUUC
rnacentral:rRNA from 1 species